rnacentral:rRNA from 1 species
CCUACGGGUGGCAGCAGUGGGGAAUAUUGGACAAUUGGCGAAAGCCUGAUCCAGCCAUGCCGCGUGUGUGAAGAAGGCCUUCGGGUUGUAAAGCACUUUCAGUGGGGAAGAAAGCCUUGGGGCUAAUACCCUCGAGGAAGGACAUCACCCACAGAAGAAGCACCGGCUAACUCCGUGCCAGCAGCCGCGGUAAUACGGAGGGUGCGAGCGUUAAUCGGAAUUACUGGGCGUAAAGCGCGCGUAGGCGGUCUGAUAAGCCGGUUGUGAAAGCCCCGGGCUCAACCUGGGAACGGCAUCCGGAACUGUCAGGCUAGAGUGCAGGAGAGGAAGGUAGAAUUCCCGGUGUAGCGGUGAAAUGCGUAGAGAUCGGGAGGAAUACCAGUGGCGAAGGCGGCCUUCUGGACUGACACUGACGCUGAGGUGCGAAAGCGUGGGUAGCAAACAGGAUUAGAUACCCUUGUAGUC